CCGUUUCUUUAUUUCUCCUUUUUUUUCUUGCUGGUUCAACGAAGAAAAGUACAACUUCAAUUCUUCCAUCAGUAGCCAAUUGUUUAGAAGUGUUUUUGACUUUUUCCCUAGCAUUCUUGCCCUCUCUUUCCCGUUCUUUCCGUUUCGUUUUCUUUUUGCUUCAGAAGAAGCAUAUUUGCAGAUUUCAUUUUCUUUUCAUGUUAAGCUCUACCUUUUCUCCUUCGUCCCUCCCUCUCUGUUUCCAUUCCUUUGUUUCUCUUUUGUUUUCUUCCUGGAUCGGACAAACAAAAGUACCAACUUAUCUGCUCCAACACCUGGUCAAUAAUUUGACCAUCUUUUCCCCCAAAAUAUGGCCGCUCAUCCAUAUCCCAAUCGUGCUAUUGUUCCAGAAAGAGUCAAUUGUGGCUGCUCAUCCAUAUCCCAACUAUGCGAUUAUUCCACAAAGAGUCAGGAACACAAACACUGCUCACAAAAAAAAUCAACGCUUCUUCCUCCUUUUGCUCUGUAACAUCUCCGAGUAAAGGGGUUUAAUUGCACUUUGAAAGAAUUGGUGCAGAAGAGCUUCUGAUUUAGCGUUCACAGAUUUCAGUUGGGUUUAGUUACGAUUUAAAAGAGUCGGUGCUAAAGAAGCUUUGGUUUGGGGUUGGCAGAUUCAUAUUAAGGAAUUGCUUCAAUUCAAGGAUGGCACCAAGGCAUUCCGAAAAAGGGAAUAAAGGCACAAACUAAGAGAUUGAGAAAAAAAAAACUUACAACCGAAUCUAUUUGCCCCAUCAAUGUCUCUAAUGUAGAUGAAUUACUUGAGAAUGAAGAGGCUGUAAUGAGUAGCUUUCAAGAAGAUCCAGAUUUUGUUUCCGUGCGAGAGUAUUAUGCUUAUAAGCUCCAGAAGCAGAUACAGAUUGGAUCAUAAAAUGUUCAUCAUGCAGACAAGAAGCCAAAGUGGAACUAAGGUGUCGCAUUGGAAUAACAGUGACCGAUCCAACUGCAAGCAUUCAAUGCUUAAUAUCUGGAAAAGAAGCUGAAAGACUGAUACAAUUGACUGCUGCGCAGCUUAAGGAUGCAGAGGCACAUGGAAUAACAAUGAACCAAGAACUCUCUGCCAUCAUGAAAAAGUACAGGUUGAUCUGUUUUAUCAAAACAUAUGAGACAACUUUUCAAGGACAACUUCAAAGAAGAAAUGCAAUCAUCAAAGCCUACCCAACAGCUGAAGUCCCCAACAUAUCAUUGGCUCUAUUAGAUUCACCACCAACUCUCCAAGCUUCAGAAACUAGAACAACAUCAAACACCAAGCAAAAACAAGUCAUAGAACAACAAACGUUCACACCAACAGCCAAGUUGCUCCUUCAAGAAAUAGCCGAAUCCACUGCUACUAAAAAAAGCUUCAUCACUAAAUGAACAACUGCUGCAACAACCAGCCACAAACUGCUUGGAGACACUGCUACCUCAGCUUCACCAAAUACCACCCCAAUCGACGAAACUGCUGCCAGCCCAACAAAGAAACCAAAACAGGAAGGAAAAGGGAAUUGAACACUCCCCAACCCUUACUAAAACCUUUUGAUAUUGCUAGAGAAGAACUUAGCAGGUCUAUCAUGCCUAAAUUGUAGUUUUAGAAUCCAUUGCUCCAAUAUUUUUUGAUAGAGCAAUGCAUUCUAAUACUUAGAAUUAGUACCUCCUCCCUCACCUGCUAACAACUCCUAUUACCAGAACCAUAAACCUGUAAAGCCUAGGUUCAUGACUUUGUCAAGCUGAAAAUGCAGUAUUAGAAUCCAUUGCUCCAAUAUCUUUUGAUAGAGUAGUGCAUUCUAAUACUCAUAUGUCAUAUAAGCUUCUCUAGCAAUCAAUAAUAUGUGCAGUACUUCUAUACGUUCCAAA